rnacentral:rRNA from 1 species
AGCAGCCGCGGUAAUUCCAGCUCCAAUAGCGUAUAUUAAAGUUGUUGCAGUUAAAAAGCUCGUAGUUGAAUUUCGGGGUUAGUAGGUUGGUCAUGCCUCUGGUAUGUACUGGUCUCACUGAUUCCUCCUUCCUGAUGAGCCGUAAUGCCAUUAAUUUGGUGUUGCGGGGAAUUUGGACUGUUACUUUGAAAAAUUAGAGUGUUUAAAGCAAGCUAACGCUUGAAUACAUUAGCAUGGAAUAAUGAAAUAGGACGUUUGAUUCUAUUUUGUUGGUUUCUAGGAUCGACGUAAUGAUUAAUAGGGAUAGUUGGGGGCAUUAGUAUUCAAUUGUCAGAGGUGAAAUUCUUGGAUUUAUUGAAGACUAACUACUGCGAAAGCAUUUGCCAAGGAUGUUUUCAUUAAUCAAGAACGAAAGUUAGGGGAUCGAAGACGAUCAGAUACCGUCGUAGUCUUAACCAUAAACUAUGCCGACUAGGGAUCGGAUGAUGUUAAUUUUUAAUGACUCAUUCGGCGCCUUACG